UACGGAGGAUGCAAGCGUUAUCCGGAAUGAUUGGGCGUAAAGCGUCCGCAGGUGGCUGUGUAAGUCUGCUGUUAAAGAGUGAGGCUCAACCUCAUAAAGGCAGUGGAAACUACAUGGCUAGAGUGCGUUCGGGGCAGAGGGAAUUCCUGGUGUAGCGGUGAAAUGCGUAGAGAUCAGGAAGAACACCGGCGGCGAAAGCGCUCUGCUAGGCCGCAACUGACACUGAGGGACGAAAGCUAGGGGAGCGAAUGGG
rnacentral:rRNA from 1 species